CUCCGUCUGUGGAAUUCUCCAGGCAAGAAUACUGGAGUGGGUUGCCAUGCCUUUCUCCAAAGGAUCUUCCUGACCCAAGGAUGGAACCUGGGUCUCCUACAUUGCCAGGUCUCCUGUGUCAUUGAUGUGAUGUUUUGACAUAUGUAUCCAUUGGGAAAUGAUGACCAAAACCAAGUGAAGGAGGUAGUAUGAAACCUCUUUACUGGAAACAAGAAACAGGAUUUGUGGACUAACAGAUGGAAGUUCGUUAGGUUCUUUGUGACAUUCUUUCCUGAUUUAAAAAAUUGGGUGACUAAAGAUCCACACGGGGGACCACCUUUUCAGGACAGAUGAGUGAGAGUAAGCUCAGAGCUAUGACAUCUUGUGGACUGUGGAGAAAACAAAACCACUCACGCUCUCACUCUGGGUUAUACCAAAGAACUGUCUCCAUACCAGAAAGAAAAUCUACUAACCUGGAACUCACUUCAUGUAGUCAUAUUAUCCAUACAAAGACCCAAGAAACAAUGUUCUGAGGAGUCUCAGUACUGUGGAGUGCAAAUCUGAAGAGUUUAUUUUUCUUCAAUCAACUGCCUUCAGCUCCACUAUGUCAAAUUCCCUUUCUAGUUCCUUAAGGAUACCUUUGGGAGAUUUCAUAAAUUUUCACUUAUAGUUCUAGUCAUUAACACUUUAGUCUAAUAUUAUUUUGGGUAGACAGUCACCUUGAAGCUCUCUUUUCCCUCCCACUCAAAGUAUACUACAUGUAAGCUUCAAGGACCUGCAAUGAGAAGAUUAAGAACAAGAGACUCACCACUCCUCUUUCUCUCUUCUGGGUCCAACUCUUCCAGUAGUGGGAAUAGACAGAAGGGAAGAGGGGAAAGGCACUUAUGCUUUAUUUUGGGGACACAGAUGUAAUCUUCAUUUCUUUGCCAUGAGUGUUUCUGGGCUCAUUCUGAGUUGCUAUACAUAUCUCCUGUGCCUCAGUGGUCUAAGUGCUAGUUCACCCAUGAUAAGUCACACGAGGCUCAUAUGGGACUUUGGCUGAGCUUCUACUAGUUCCUUUCCAUAACAUGAUAUAUUUAGCAGUGUCUUGCUGGCUAAACCAAAGACAGCUAUCUGAGAAGAAUGAUCCUAGCCACACAACUCAAACUCAGCUACCUCCCAGAGUGCCCUGGAUACACUGGAUAUUUUGCCUCCUUGACACUUCUAGGGGAGAUUGAGAGAAAACAGGCAGCUCUGCCAAUUAAUCCCUGCUUCUAUUCCUCCAUCUUCCUCUGUUGUCUAAGACAAGGUCCAACCAGGAAAGGGAAGGUUAGACUUCCCUAACUUGUUCUCUUUUAACGUUUCCCUAAAACUAGACUUUGAGUUGGAUUAGGAAAUAGAAUAACUUCUUACUGUCAAUAGAAUCUGGGGACACUCUAGGAUGAUUUUUCUUUUCAGUUCUAACUUCUCCUUCCUCUGAUCACAGGGAAAAGACACAUAAACUGUGGGUAACUAAAGUUGAGAAAGCAAGAAGAAAAGACUGUGUGGGAGAGGAUGUAAGUAUUGUGUCUUCCUCGUUGUGAAGAACCUGGGAGCACAAGAAUUUCAAGCUGUUAAUCAAGAGUAAGGAUAUGAGAAAAAAGAAUAGAGAGCUGAGCAUAUAUAAAAGUAAAAAUGACAAAUACCAAGAAAAUGGCAAAAAAUGUAAUAGAAAAAUAAUACUAAACAUCAUUUAAUGGAAGGAGAGAGAAGAGAAAAAAGCAAUUAAAAUGUACUUAUUUAUCAAUAUUGACAGUGGCUAC
ensembl:lncRNA